GUGCCAGCAGCCGCGGUAAGACGGAGGGUGCAAACGUUGUUCGGAAUCACUGGGCAUAAAGCGCACGUAGGCGGUCCGCUAAGUCAGUUGUGAAAUCCCUCGGCUCAACCGAGGAGCUGCACCUGAUACUGGCGGGCUCGAGAACGGUAGGGGUGAGUGGAACUCCAGGUGGAGCGGUGAAAUGCGUAGAUAUCUGGAGGAACACCGGUGGCGAAGGCGGCUCACUGGACCGUAUCUGACGCUGAGGUGCGAAAGCUAGGGUAGCAAACGGGAUUAGAUACCCCUGUAGUCC
rnacentral:rRNA from 1 species